rnacentral:rRNA from 1 species
UUAAGCGACUAAGCGUACACGGUGGAUGCCCUGGCAGUCAGAGGCGAUGAAGGACGUGCUAAUCUGCGAUAAGCGUCGGUAAGGUGAUAUGAACCGUUAUAACCGGCGAUUUCCGAAUGGGGAAACCCAGUGUGUUUCGACACACUAUCAUUAACUGAAUCCAUAGGUUAAUGAGGCGAACCGGGGGAACUGAAACAUCUAAGUACCCCGAGGAAAAGAAAUCAACCGAGAUUCCCCCAGUAGCGGCGAGCGAACGGGGAGGAGCCCAGAGCCUGAAUCAGUGUGUGUGUUAGUGGAAGCGUCUGGAAAGGCGCGCGAUACAGGGUGACAGCCCCGUACACAAAAAUGCACAUGCUGUGAGCUCGAUGAGUAGGGCGGGACACGUGGUAUCCUGUCUGAAUAUGGGGGGACCAUCCUCCAAGGCUAAAUACUCCUGACUGACCGAUAGUGAACCAGUACCGUGAGGGAAAGGCGAAAAGAACCCCGGCGAGGGGAGUGAAAAAGAACCUGAAACCGUGUACGUACAAGCAGUGGGAGCCUCUUUAUGGGGUGACUGCGUACCUUUUGUAUAAUGGGUCAGCGACUUAUAUUCUGUAGCAAGGUUAACCGAAUAGGGGAGCCGAAGGGAAACCGAGUCUUAACUGGGCGUUAAGUUGCAGGGUAUAGACCCGAAACCCGGUGAUCUAGCCAUGGGCAGGUUGAAGGUUGGGUAACACUAACUGGAGGACCGAACCGACUAAUGUUGAAAAAUUAGCGGAUGACUUGUGGCUGGGGGUGAAAGGCCAAUCAAACCGGGAGAUAGCUGGUUCUCCCCGAAAGCUAUUUAGGUAGCGCCUCGUGAAUUCAUCUCCGGGGGUAGAGCACUGUUUCGGCAAGGGGGUCAUCCCGACUUACCAACCCGAUGCAAACUGCGAAUACCGGAGAAUGUUAUCACGGGAGACACACGGCGGGUGCUAACGUCCGUCGUGAAGAGGGAAACAACCCAGACCGCCAGCUAAGGUCCCAAAGUCAUGGUUAAGUGGGAAACGAUGUGGGAAGGCCCAGACAGCCAGGAUGUUGGCUUAGAAGCAGCCAUCAUUUAAAGAAAGCGUAAUAGCUCACUGGUCGAGUCGGCCUGCGCGGAAGAUGUAACGGGGCUAAACCAUGCACCGAAGCUGCGGCAGCGACGCUUAUGCGUUGUUGGGUAGGGGAGCGUUCUGUAAGCCUGCGAAGGUGGCCUGUGAGGGCUGCUGGAGGUAUCAGAAGUGCGAAUGCUGACAUAAGUAACGAUAAAGCGGGUGAAAAGCCCGCUCGCCGGAAGACCAAGGGUUCCUGUCCAACGUUAAUCGGGGCAGGGUGAGUCGGCCCCUAAGGCGAGGCCGAAAGGCGUAGUCGAUGGGAAACAGGUUAAUAUUCCUGUACUUGGUGUUACUGCGAAGGGGGGACGGAGAAGGCUAUGUUGGCCGGGCGACGGUUGUCCCGGUUUAAGCGUGUAGGCUGGUUUUCCAGGCAAAUCCGGAAAAUCAAGGCUGAGGCGUGAUGACGAGGCACUACGGUGCUGAAGCAACAAAUGCCCUGCUUCCAGGAAAAGCCUCUAAGCAUCAGGUAACAUCAAAUCGUACCCCAAACCGACACAGGUGGUCAGGUAGAGAAUACCAAGGCGCUUGAGAGAACUCGGGUGAAGGAACUAGGCAAAAUGGUGCCGUAACUUCGGGAGAAGGCACGCUGAUAUGUAGGUGAAGCGACUUGCUCGUGGAGCUGAAAUCAGUCGAAGAUACCAGCUGGCUGCAACUGUUUAUUAAAAACACAGCACUGUGCAAACACGAAAGUGGACGUAUACGGUGUGACGCCUGCCCGGUGCCGGAAGGUUAAUUGAUGGGGUUAGCGGUAACGCGAAGCUCUUGAUCGAAGCCCCGGUAAACGGCGGCCGUAACUAUAACGGUCCUAAGGUAGCGAAAUUCCUUGUCGGGU